rnacentral:rRNA from 1 species
UACACUCCUACGGGAGGCAGCAGUGGGGAAUAUUGCACAAUGGGCGCAAGCCUGAUGCAGCCAUGCCGCGUGUAUGAAGAAGGCCUUCGGGUUGUAAAGUACUUUCAGCGGGGAGGAAGGCGAUAAGGUUAAUAACCUUGUUGAUUGACGUUACCCGCAGAAGAAGCACCGGCUAACUCCGUGCCAGCAGCCGCGGUAAUACGGAGGGUGCAAGCGUUAAUCGGAAUUACUGGGCGUAAAGCGCACGCAGGCGGUCUGUCAAGUCGGAUGUGAAAUCCCCGGGCUCAACCUGGGAACUGCAUUCGAAACUGGCAGGCUAGAGUCUUGUAGAGGGGGGUAGAAUUCCAGGUGUAGCGGUGAAAUGCGUAGAGAUCUGGAGGAAUACCGGUGGCGAAGGCGGCCCCCUGGACAAAGACUGACGCUCAGGUGCGAAAGCGUGGGGAGCAAACAGGAUUAGAUACCCGGGUAGUCCC